GUGAAUCAUCGAAUCUUUGAACGCAAAUUGCACUCCCUGGUAUUCCGGGGAGUAUGCCUGUUUGAGGGUCGUUAGAAUAAAAAAUCGAGGCGUUGUUCUUUUUUUUAAGGGUGAUCGCGUCGGAAUUGUGCCGUCUUUCAAAUGUUAAUUCAUGUCAAAGAUGCUUGAAAUUAAUCCAUCCGGUAUGAUUAAAGCGUAUCUAAGAUAAAUCUUUAUUAAGAACGCGCGAUGACGUACUAGCUCAUGAAGU
rnacentral:misc_RNA from 1 species